rnacentral:rRNA from 1 species
GGUUGAUCCUGCCAGUAGUCAUAUGCUUGUCUCAAAGAUUAAGCCAUGCAUGUCUAAGUAUAAGCUGAUAUACGGUGAAACUGCGAAUGGCUCAUUAUAACAGUUAUAAUUUAUUUGAUAGUACAUUACUAGAUGGAUAACCGUGGUAAUUCUAGAGCUAAUACAUGCAAAAGGGCCUGACUUAUGGAGGGCUGUAUUUAUUAGAUUAAAAGCCAAAGCAGAGAUGCUAGUGGUGAAUCAUAAUAACUAAACGGAUCGUAUGACAAAGUCGACGACGUAUCAUUCAAAUUU